rfam:Glossina palpalis gambiensis isolate 146720 unplaced genomic scaffold Scaffold908, whole genome shotgun sequence.
GGGGCUGAUUUUAGGAUUCGACGAAAUUUAUAAAACUAAACGAUGCAUGUCGAGAAGAGGUGGACUCGUAAAACCUCGUAUUUACAAAUGCAACAAAUAAAUACCAAGAACCCGCUCUAUUAGCAGCUUAAACAGAAUAUAAAUCUGAGGUUCCUUCUAUAAUAAUCUCUCUCUAAGUUUAUUAACAGAAGUCAUUACUAGAGAUCGCAUUACAUACAAUCUUGAAAGUAUGAAUGUUAAAAAAUAUCAAGAUAAUUUUAAAUUCUGUAUGUCUUUCUACUGAUUUAAAAUAAAAUAAAAGAAAGAAUAAACAUGUAGUAUCAAUAGGAUUAAAAUUUCGGACGCGGGUUCAAAUCCCGCCAGCUCCAA